GUUAUCUAUGACGUAGGGGUCAUCAUCAUGUCCAUUUGCCAGGAUUGUUGUGGGGAUUAAAGACGCGACGCCUGUCAAGUGCUUAGCCUUUUCAUUGCAAGCUCUCAGUACAUUUUCCUUCUAGCUGCUAACGAGACCCCGAGACAGGCACUGCUGGUGCCCCGCGGGACCGUGGAUGAGCUAGUGACCUUCUCUGGGCCUUGAUUGUCAUCUGUACGACAAGGGAGGGAAUCAAGGAGGCACCCGAUGGCUAAUUCCUGAGCAGUUACUGUGUGCUUGCCCCGGGGCUGAGCCCCAGCCACAGAGAUAAAGGAGCCAUGGCCCUGUCUUUGGGGGGCUCCUGUGUGGUUAGAUACAAGCACUGCGGGACCACCCGGUGCUUGCCAGGCAGGGUGAUAAGCACUGCACAUCCAUGAACUCCAUCAAUCAUAAUGUUGAUGACAACGCCACUGUCCCUGUUUUAAAGGGCAUCAGGAGGCACAUAGGACCUCCAGGACUCUGCCAAGGUCACCCAGUGACAUCAGAGUGGGGCUCGAAACCUGGAGAUCAAUUCUGCUCUAUCACCCUUCUAGCAUAAAUAUCAUGUGAUUCUCUACGACCAUGAGACAGACGCUUUGGAGAUUGUGCCAAGGCCCAGAUAAACACAGGUAUCCCCCGCUUUUCAGACAUUUGCUUUAUGUCACCUCACUUUGACAAAAGACCUACACUGGUAUCUGCUUUCACGGACCCAAAGAAAAUCGAAGAGGGUUUUUGCUUUUCGGGGGGCGGUGUGGGGGCAAAAAGCAAAACUAGCAUUCGGGAUUUGUGCAUCGCAGCGAGCUGUUACAAAGGCAGCGCACCCCCCACACCCCCAGCAAGCGCGGCCCGCCAAGCUCCUUCCCCAGAAACUCCACUCAGCAUCUCAGCAUCAAGCAGCCAUAGCCCUGAGCUGCGUCUGUGAGCAUCUGUGUCUGAUCUUGACUUAUUUUGUGCAGCCGUUAGCAAGAUGUGCCCUAAGGUAUCAGAGAAGCCUGAGAGAGGAUAUUUUUGGGGUCUGAGGACGCUCCAAAGUUUUUCCAUAAUACUGUUAACUGCUUCUUCCCUUUAUGCCAUUUCAGCUUCCGAAAGUUUGGAGCCUGUGCCUGUACCCUCUUUUCCUAAUAUUUCGCGCUUUCUCUUCUUCCUGCCUCUCUCUUAUCUCCCUGCACUUCCAUCAAUAUCGUCUGCAUUGGCUACCAGGCAUGGAGGUGAACGGUGAACGUUUUUCUCUUUUCUCUGCUCACACCAUCCCCACUGACGCUGCAAGGAAGAGACGGGCUGUGGUCCUAAAGCAGAAGUGAUAACUGGGAGACACUCCUUACGACAUCCUGCAUCAGUCUGCUUUGAGCCUCUGCCUGUGUCCAGGCUGGGAUCCCACUCCUCUCCACCGCCCAUCUCUCUCAAUGAGGCGUUCCUUAUGAAACAAACCCCUACCCGUUCUCCCCUCCAGCAGACGUCAGCUUGCCAACUGGGAAUCAUUAUUACGUGGCUUGUGUUUGACCUCCGAUGUUCCCAGCCCGACUUUCAAGAAAAUGUGGUCUUCAUACCAUUCCCAUCUACGACCUUUCAGCCUCGUUGAACCAAGCAUUUGGAAGGCUGCACAGCAAUGUGGUUGAAUACAUUCCAGUGGAGAAGAGGAAAGGGGAGGAGUUCCUAAUGACUAUGCCAUAGAAAAAGGCUCUCUAAGAUUGCCAUAAAAACAGAGGAGAAAAGAACCGACAGCUUCAUGGUCCUCUACCUGCGAGGCUUCAUUUACUGGGCAGGACGUGGUGCUUGCAACUGUCCUUUGGGGACACAGGAAAGGUUUAGAAACUCAAUUUUACAGACGAGAAGGGAAGCCAUUUGUUAUGGGUCACUCACUAGUAAAGGGACAGGAUAAUGGUUUUCUUCCCGAGAUCCAGAGUGCAACUCCGUACGCUGCCUCUUAUUAAAACAAAUGCAUAAAAAACAAACAACCCAGAGUCCAGUUCAACACAAAGCCGUACAAUUCACUCUUCCCUCUGCCUUUCAACUGCUCCAGCGUGUCCAAGUUUCCAGAACCAUCCACAGGAGAAGGGCAUCGGUUCGCCAGAGUUGGGGAACAGUAGCGACCCACUGAAAGUGACUUUGGUGAAGUCAGCCAAAGGAAGCUGCAGCACACACGGGAGAAUAAUAACACUUUCCUUCUGAAGAGGGCAGUGUGCAACCAAGGCCAGGUCGGCUCACGUGGUCAGGGCUUCCUUCCAGGUCUGGAAGGCCGGAGGCAGUGUAGCCCUCAGGAGCCCAGGCAUCUUGGGUUUCCAGGAGCUUAUUUCUGAACGACAAACACAUCUUCCGACAUGAAAUAGGAUUCUUGAGGUUUGAGCACAGUUACACACUGCCUCUCAUCAGAGGGUACACCGUGCAAACCGAUACUAAGGCGGUUAUGCAAGAUGGAUGGAAGAAGCCCCAGCGAGUUCUCUUUCCGGGCUCUUGCACUUGUCUGUCCCCCCAUCCCCCCCGCAAUUGGCCUCAUGAAAUUAAACAAUAGUGUGGCCUCCCA